UCGUGUGAAAAGGACGUGCUAACGGGAAAAAUCGGUAACGGUACAACGUCGUACGUUUUACGCUCGGUCGCGUCGUGCAGUUUUCUAAUGGAAUACACUGCUACUCCAGCCAAGUGCACAAGUGAAAAGCCAAUUGGAUUUUGUGAUAAAGCUUGAAAGAAGUAAACGAAAAUCAAAGAAUUAAAUAUUAAAAAAUCGUUUUGUGUUUUGAAAAAGUGUUUCGAGCAUUUAACGGAGUAUAAAAAGAUGCUUUUAAAAGGCAUGGAUAAAGCUACUCAUCAUACUACUAAAAAUAACAAAAAAAUUUUAUUAAAUUGCCGUUAACAUAUAGCCUACUAAAAAAAGCUAUAAUUUCUGUAACGAAAAGUGUAAUUUGUGAAAUUUAUUUGCCAGUGAAGAAAAAAGAAAAAAAAAAUUACGUGUGCAGACUUGUUAAUGUGAGCAUUUGUAAAUCCCGAAAUUAGAUAAUGUAAAUACCAAACGAUUAUAAAAAAAUAUGAGCAGCACACAAAAAAAUAAAAUUUAAAAAAAGAAAAUUAAGGAAAAAAUCGUUUGAAAUCAGACACGCAGCAAAGUGCUAAAAAAUCCCUAGAAAUAUGCAACGUUAACUCAAACAACAGAACGCGCGUUAGCUUCGUUACUUUAUAAGUUCGAAUUUCCGCGAGAAACGCCAGCUAAAAGCAACACAUAGCAACGCUAGCUUAAGUCUCGUAUGCAACUGUGCUUAAGCGCCCACUAAUAUGGCUCACAAGUGUAUUUAUGUGUGUGUGUGCUGAAAAAAAUGUAAAUAAAGCAGCAGAGUGUGAGUGAAAACUAAUAAUAACAAAAGCAAAGCCGGAAUGCAAACAGAAUAAACAAAACAAAAAAAGUGUAGAAAAAAUACUGGAACAAAAAAAAUACAACAAAAGUGGGCUAACAAGCGAUAAACACAACAAAAGUGAGUUAUUAAAAAUUAUGUAAAAAGCUACUGUAAGCAAAUGCUGCUAAUGAAUGCCAACAACAAAAAAUAAAUCAAAGUAAAAAUAAAAAAAAAAAAAUCCUUGAAAGAAAUUUCCGCAGUGAAUGAAAGUGCAAAAGUAGUAAAAAAUGCAAAUUAAUUAAAACGACGUGUGUACAAAAACAAAAUAAGCAAAAAGUCGCAAAGCAAAUACACACGCAGCAAAUAGACGCGAGAAAAAGUGAGUUUCCCAGCUCAAUCCAACUAAACUACACAAUUACAAACAGGCACCACUAAGCGCCAGCAAAGCAAAAAGAUAAACAAAACCUAUAUCCUCAAUACUGCUGCAGCACUUUGCACCCGCUGCACCCUCUCCACCCCCACAGCUGCCCCAACACACGCACUAGACGCAAUCAAUGCCCACUAGACAAGCGCGCCGCUCCAAAGUGCACUCGAAGUCUACACAGCUGCACCGCUAAAGCCCUGUGCUCCACACUCCACUUCGCUCCAGCUGCAGCAGUCAUUUAUUAAACGCAAAAAAACUUCAAGCAAAAUAAAUAUAAAAAAAAAAUCAUUGCAUACUUUUCUGCUUGCACUAUUUAACUACGCGCUCACUCGCCUGGCGCUUCCGCAAGCAGUAGCGGCAGCUCGACGCUUCAGUGGGAAUAAAACGCGAAACGAUAAUUUCAGAAAAGGUACUUCAGUAAUGCGAAAAGAAAUAUGUUGCAUCCAAAAUUUAAAGUCUGACUUCG
rnacentral:lncRNA from 1 species